rnacentral:rRNA from 1 species
AACGAACGCUGGCGGCAGGCUUAACACAUGCAAGUCGAACGGGUGUAGCAAUACAUCAGUGGCAGACGGGUGAGUAACACGUGGGAACCUUCCUAGAGGUACGGAACAACUCAGGGAAACUUGAGCUAAUACCGUAUAAGCUCUUGCGAGGAAAGAUUUAUCGCCUUUAGACGGGCCCGCGUAGGAUUAGGUAGUUGGUGGGGUAAUGGCCUACCAAGCCUACGAUCCUUAGCUGAUCUGAGAGGAUGAUCAGCCACACUGGGACUGAGACACGGCCCAGACUCCUACGGGAGGCAGCAGUGGGGAAUCUUGGACAAUGGGCGCAAGCCUGAUCCAGCCAUGCCGCGUGAGUGAAGAAGGCCUUCGGGUUGUAAAGCUCUUUUACCAGGGGCGAUAAUGACGGUACCUGGAGAAUAAGCCCCGGCAAACUUCGUGCCAGCCGCCGCAGUAA